rnacentral:lncRNA from 1 species
GGCCAUCCAGAUCCCAUCCGGGCUCAGACCUCCUGGUGCCACGGGUCAUGGGGUGCAGCACAGGUGCUCAGGUCAGGCUGAUGAGGCCGACACACGGGGUGGGCUCUGAGCAUAACUGCUCCCUUGGCUAUCAAAAUGCAUUGUGCCAAAGAGCAGAAGCUCCACAGCAACUGAGGCAAUUGUGGCUCUGCCGAGAGGCACAUGGGUGGUGCUGGCCCAGGGGAGGGGGGUGGUAGGUGGCAUUGCCGGGCCAAGACCGAGAGACACUCGUGCAAGGCAAGGGGUAGAGUCAGAGGCUGCCUGGCGCCCGAGAGCUUGGGGAGAUGGCCGGGCCUCACACUACCUUUGUCCAUCCUCUCACAGUCCCAAAGCCUCCGGCUCCAAACCACAGGGCUAGGAGGAAGGGUCCCACAGGCUCAUCCAAGGGUUCUGACCAAGCGAGCUUGGAUGCUGAGAAGAGAGUCUGGGAAGGAGAGCUUUUACUAAAGCGGGUGGUUCCUUCGGACGAUUCAAACGUGGUUUGGGAACUGUAUGAAUACCCAGCGCUUUGGCAGCCCCGCCCCUCCUGACUCCGGCGUCUCGUAGAGCAAAGUUCUGGCUCUGCCUUUAAGGACGCUCCACGACCAGCUCCGUGGGUACCACAGAAGGGGGGUGCAGGUGUCCAGUCCCACGAGCAACUAAGGCAAAGUGCUUGCCCUCCUUCCCUUCCCUCCUCCCGACAGGGCACCCCCAAGGUGAGGGAUCAGUGCAGGUCUGUUUCAGGGACUCUGGGGAGCAGUGGUAAUUUAGUCAACUCUUCGGCUCCAUACUACUGCAUCGAUCUCGCCAUCUGGCUCUGAGGCCCACAGGCCGGUGGUAGCGAACCAGGACCAACUCCCAGACAAUUCUCAUCCCACCUCAAGCAUGCCACCUGUGCGCAUGCGUA